rnacentral:sRNA from 1 species
GCUAGGUAAGGAAGUGCAUGCCUGUAAUCCCAGUGGCUCUGGUGGCUGAGGCAGGAGAAUCACGAGUUCAAAGCCAGCCUCAGCAAAAAUGAGGCACUAAACAACUCAGUGAGACCCUGUCUCUA